AUGCAACCGUCGGGGGGGGGACCUCGGGGACUCCCGCCAGCGAGCCUCCUCCCUCCAGACCCCCGCUGGCCUUCUGCCAUCCCAGCCGCAGGUUCUCAGCCUUUGAGGCCUUGCGCCCAGCCUGUGGCUGGCCUGUGUCUUCCUGAUUUUGCUGUAAAUCACCUUGAACUAGGCUUCAGGAACAGAGACUCCAUUGGCAUGUUGACCUCAUCUGUGUACAGUGGUUGGUCGGGAUUUGGGUACAAACGACAGUUAAGAACACGCUGGGGCCGAAAGUCCCAUAAGCCAGUUGUAAGCGUUGCUGAGAGCCAGAAAAGCCUGGAAGAGAGGAGGCAAAGCCUGGGGCCGGGAGGUUCCUGGGAAGAGGAGGGAACCUGGGCAGACCAACUCUUGCGAAGACGGACUUCACAGAAGGAGCAGGGAGGUUCCGUUUUGGAGUUUGCACAUUAUUCCGACCCCCCUGGAUGUCACGCCAGGAUCCGGCUGCACCGUAUGUUGCAAGACCUCAGCCACCGCCGCGGAGGAACUGGCCGGGAAGCGUCAGGUGUACCGGGUGAAGGGGGUGAUGGGAAAUUCACUGGGAUGGUCUGGGAAGAGGAGAGGGCAGCUUGGAUCUGGGCCGGGGUUGAGGGAGGCUGGGGUGACCGGCUGUGGGCGGGAGGGACAGGAAGCAGCCCAGGGCGGCGCGGAGAUUCCACCUGGAGCAGGUGACGCUUCAUUCACUACAAUGACAAGAAAGAGAAAGAGGUUUGGGGGGACAUGGAGCCCCAUUCUGGAUCCACAGUGUCUGCCGUGAUGCCCAGGAGCAGACGGGGGCCUCGGAGAGACACAGGCCCAGCCUGGAGAUUCGGACUUUUUAGCAGACACAGAAACCCCCAAAGGCCAGGCAGAACUCAGCAGCCCUGGGGGGAGGGGGGUCUCCUAGGAACCAUGGGCAAUGCGGGAGUGCCCACCCCCGUGCAUUCACCUCCUACACAGAGAACGAAGGUUGCCUGGAAAAGAGGGAGAAGAAAUGAGACCAGCGCCAUCCCAUCAGCACAGGUUCUCCUUGGGGACGGGCAGACGGACCCCUGCCGUUCCCAUGCGUUAUCUAAAUUUCCUGAUGAAACUGGUAAAUGUACUGUUUGCAGUUUCCUUUCCUUUAGAAAAAAGUCUACAGUACAUCAGUAUAUAUGUUUUAAUAGCU
rnacentral:lncRNA from 1 species